GGUUUUAUAGCUCAGAGGUAGAGCGGCGGGGUGAAGUUCCGCGCGUCCGAGGUUCGAUCCCUCGUAAGACCA
rnacentral:tRNA from 1 species